UAUACUCCGUUCUGAAAGGUAGUACUAACAAACUACUCUCUGCUGCCAACUUCACCGGAAUCGCUCUCUUCGCCCUCCUCUACACGGAGAUGCAAUUCAAGGACAAAUGGAUUGCGUGUCUUUCUCUCGGCGUACAGACUUUCCGUACCAAAUCAUCCCAACAGAAGAGCAAACAAAUGAGCAGGUGAUGAUGGAAAGGGAAAUAGCACAAAAGAGGAGAAUUUUAUAUAUCUUCUAGAUUGGGUAUAAGCUUACUUAUAUGAUGGCUACCGGGAAGACAUUGAUACCAUUGAGGCAUUCUAUAAUGUGAAUUUCGGAAUCGCCAAAAAGCAUGUACUUGACUUCAGUUUACACUCAAUCGCAAUAUUUGCCUCCGUCGAAGAUGCUUGAUGUUGAUAUCACUGAUAGUGUUAUCGGGGAAGGAUGUGCGAUUAAGGUAAAUUGUUUCCGAAUCUGUUCGAAGAAUGUGAGGUUUAUACUUUUCUUGACAAAGAUGUCAAAUAUGCUUAAAUGGAUUUAAUUGUGAGAAACUUUAAUUUUCUUUUUGUUUCCUAGAAUUGCAAAAUCUUCCAUUCAGUGGUCGGGCUGCAGUCUUGCAUUACGUUCAGAAAAACGCAAAAAUUCAGCAAAUUACGUUCAUGAGCUGAAAGAAAGGAAAUACAUGAAAAACUUGAUAAAUGGUUUAUGAUACUUGAUUCCUGUGGAUUUGGUAAAGUCCCUUUAAGCGCAUUUAUAAAGAUUGCAAAUUUUUGUUGGAUAUUUCUUCAGUUGGUACCUCAUCUAACUUUUACUUACCACUUUAAGUUUAGGAUCCUUAUGAGCCUUAAUCUGUCAUACUGCAUUGGUUUCUUGGACCAUGUCAGUACUUGCUGAGGCAAUCCUUAGUUCUUUUUGGUCUUUAAAAGUUAAAACUUAUUAAACCACCUUUCACAUACAUGUACUGUUAGCUAGGUCAUUUAUGGUCAUGCUUGUGGUUGUGCUAACAUAUAUCAUGCUUGCAUAUCAAACCAUUAUAUUUACAUAUCUAAAGUUUGGUAUUUGGUGCGGAAAAAUUCAGAUUUACAUGUCUUUGACUUCUUGGCCAAUUCAAUCCUUAGAGAGGUUCUCUUUACUAUUCAGAAGGGAAAACCAGGUGCAUUUUCUCCUGGAAGACCAGAGUUCUUGAAAAAUUACAAAUCAAGCUUGGAAUUCUUGGCUUAUCUAGAAGGAUACUGUACAUCCAGAUCUGUUGUUGCUAAAUUUCGAUCCGAAGCAAUCUAUACCGAGUUCAUGAAGCAAUGUAAUUGGAAACUUAGAGAGUAUUUUUCUUUGAGGCGAUUCUUAUAUUUAAGGAUUUAGGAAAUAGCAUGGUCUUUAGAUUCUGUGCUGACAACAUCCAGUCCUGUCCCCGUUCAAAAUUUAGAUCCUAGCGAAGUAAAUUAUCAGGACUUAACGCUAAAAUCAAAUGUAACUCUCUUGGAGAGUUUGAGAUUGUGCUGGAGAGAAGAAAAUGGAUGUAUAGUAACUUGCUGGCAGGAUAUGUCUUUGUUUUCAACAACAGCUUGGAGAGCUAGGAAGUAAUUAAGACUAAUUUUCAAGCAAGAAAAAGAAUGGAAUAUUAGAAAGAAGAAAAAUAUGAUAUGAAGUGAAGAAAUGAUGGGUAGAGUUUUGAGGGUUUUAAUUUUUGUUUUUGUUUUUCUUUAUUUGAAGAAAGAGUUUACGAACAGGGUAAUGAGUAUUCAUUUCAUCAUUGUCAAUUUAAAGAUACUUUUAUUUUUCUGCUGG